rnacentral:rRNA from 1 species
GCUAGUUUCUAUUUUGGGAAAACCCACUCGACCACCGCAUCUUAUCCUAUCCCCUGCGCCUCGCCUCCCUACUCUGCCCUGCCGCUUCCCCUCGCCGGCGGCUCCUUCCUCGCGGCAGCCCACUAUCCCCGGCGCCUCGCCUCCCUACUCUGCCCUGCCGCUUCCCCUCCUCGCCGGCGGCUCCUCCCUAGCGGCAGCGACCAAUACGGCGAGACGACGCGGCCGCACGAGUGCCGGCAAGGUCAGCGGUGAAUACGGCGAGGCGCCGCAGCCGCACGAGCCCCCGCGAGGUCAACGGCGAAUAGGGCGAGGCGCCGCGGCCGCACGAGCGGCGGCGAGGUCAGCAGUGAAUACGGCGAGGCGCCACGUCCGCAUGGGCGGCAGGGGCCAAGGCGGAGCGGCCGCACAGCUGCCGCGAUGUCCAGGGGCGGAAGCGGCCAAUACGGCGAGGCGGUGUUUGUCCGGCGGCCGUACGUCCUCAUGCUUGGGCUCGACCUCCCGCUGUGCGUCCCCACCGGCAUCACCAAGCUUCCCAGCCGCGUCCGCGUCGGCUCCGAGGAUGUCCCGGAACACCCAGAUUUGACAGGGAGCAGCACAUGGAUGUCGUUUUUUUGGCACCUCUGCUAUCAUGAAACUAGUAUGGAUAGGUUCAGGCACACUUUUGCUCGUUUUCAGCAUGAGGAGGAAGA